ACAGCACUGCAUCCUUCUGACACAGACAAGGAAGGCUAGAGCAGCACAGUUAGAGGACACUGCCUCUGUAUUGACAUUUUUUUUCAGUCAGUGAAGGCUGGGACAGAGAGCUGCAGUCAGGACAUCUUCUCUGCUGUGGGACAAUACUGCCACCAUGCGGGAAUUGUUUCUUGUAGACCAGCGCAGGCACACAUACCUCCUCCAUCCUAGUGCUCCUCAGCCAUUUUGAAGCAGGGAAGGUCAAGGAGAUUCAUAAAUGGUGAUAUUUGUCCUUCUUACUGUAUUUCACUCCUUCUGUAGGCAGACUAGCAUCACAGGACCUUUCAGAGUAUUAACGCAGACCGCGGUGACUGAGGUCCAUUUUCAAGUGGGAAGCAGUGCUGAGGUGCUGAGACAGGAAGCAGAAGGGCGGGUUCCACCAUCGCUCAGCUGGCCAUGGUAAUCUACUAGCUGGUGUCCUAGGGCAGCAAGGCGCCUCCCUCCCCAGGUACUGAAGAGAAAACACUGCAGUCCCAGUUUCUGUUGGGGUCUGAGGAGAAGGCAAGGAAGCCCAGCUAGGCAUCCACAGCUGCUCCUGCUGUCUCUAAUUGGUCGCCAUCUUCUGCCAUUGCUAGGAAUCAUGGGAAGGAGGAGAAUGAAACUGUGAGUUUUAAAACCGUCUCCUCAUGGUGGCAGUAGAGCUCCACACAAGAGCUUGACUGGCCCCUGGGAUUUUCUGCUCAGGACCCGAGUUCACUGAGACAUCAGGAGCAAGCACUGGAGGCCGGGUGCUGCUGGACCCAGGUGGGAGCCAUGCGGGACUUGACCAUGGCCUGCACACACUUCUUCCCAGGAGAAGGGGAAUGAGGAAGAACCGGCCCCUGGGAUUUGCUGCUCAGGACCCGAGUUCAGUGAGACAUCAGGAGCAAGCACUGGAGGCCGGGUGCUGCUGGACCCAGAUGGGAGCCAUGCAGGACUUGACCAUGGCCUGCACACACUUCUUCCCAGGAGAAGGGGAGUGAGGAAGAAAGGCUCAUUGCGUCUAUGUCGUAAAUGAGCUGUGGAUUUGCUAUGCCCCUUCUCUUCAGCAACCCUUAUUUUUCUUGCCUGUACAUCUCUACUGUGGGAAUCACAGGGAAGCUGCUGCAGCACAACUUGAAAUAGAAAGCUGGAUGGUAUGAAUUUAGGACAAGAACAUGAGAAGCAGGGCUCCAGAGAGGAUUCAUUAAGAGCAUUUUCUGCUCUUCCAGAAGCAUCCGAGUUUGGUGUGGGCACCCAAGUCAUUAGGCUCAGAGCUGCUUGGUCUGGAUCCCCUAGGGUUGCCACCAGGAUCACCAGAAAGUUUGUUAAAUAGAGAAGCACUUGAUAGAAGGCACCUGGAUAAGGAUGGACAGAAAUCAGAGGCCUUGGCUAUCUGGAUUCUGACUUCUUCAAAAAGAUGAGAUGAUAGAUGAGAGUGGGUGCCUUAGAUCUCACUUCCUUUUCUUUAACAUAUUUUUGUUGCUGGGAUGAGAUUCUAGCCAUUCCUAAUAUAAAUACUAUUGAAAGC
ensembl:processed_transcript